ensembl:lncRNA
CACACACACACACAGGCCCCAUCAGGUAGGCCCUGUGGUCACACACACAGGCCCCCAUCAGGUAGGCCCUGUGGUCACACACACACACACACACACACACACACCACAGGCCCCAUCAGGUAGGCCCUGUGGUCACACACAGCCACCCAUCAGGUAGGCCCUGUGGUCAAACACAGGCCCCAUCAGGUAGGCCCUGUGGUCACACACAGCCCCCCAUCAGGUAGGCCCUGUCGUCACACACAGCCCCCAGCAGGGCAGCACAGAGGCCUCUUCAACCAGGGGAUGGUUGAUUGUACUUUAAUAGUUUUGUGUAUCUUAUGGUGAAUUGAUUUGAAAUGAGGUCGAGGCGAGGUACUAAGUGUGUGUGUCUAGACAGGCAGGUGUUGCUACUCUUU